GGAGCCGAGCGGAGCCGCUCCCGCUCCCCCCGUGCCAUGCGGGAUGCUCCCGGCCGCCGCCGCCCCCCGCCCGCCGCCUCUGCUGUGGCCGCCGCCCGCGGAGCCCCCCGCGCCCCCCUGGGCCUGGGUGCUGCCCGCGGCCGCGGGGCUGCUCCGAGUGGGCGCUGCCAACGCCGGGGGUCCCCCCCCGCCCCCGCCGCUGCUGCUGCCGCCCCCCGCCCCCGCCGUGCUGCGGGGCUGGCGCGGCCCCGCAGAGCCGCUGCUGCCGCUGCUGCCCGCGACCACCGAGCCGCUGCUCCAGGGGCAGUGGAUAUUUGGAGCUCAUUCUCCAAUCAUAGGAUUUUCCCCUUCUUCGAGCGUGGAAUUUGUCCCUGUUUUCCCCCCUGUGUUCACGGCUUCGGUUCCACCUCACACUGGGAAAAGCUGGAUCGAUAAAAGGCUGCCCAACUGCAAAAUAUACUUGAACAAUGCAUUUGCUCUGGAUUCAGCCUGGAUACAUCCUGAGGAGUCCAGGCUGUUCCAGGGAGCUGAGAAACCUCUGCUGAUGACCAACCAAGUAGCUCUGGCUGUAGCCAGGCCAGCUGCUGCCUCCAGGCCACUGCCCACGCUGGUGUUGGCACCUCAGCUGGUACCAGGUGGUUGCCAGAAUAGCCUGAAGGCCAUGGGUACCAACCAGACCCUGGCUCUGGCCACGGCGGCCGUGGUGUCGGUGGAGCCUGAGGCCCCCCAGCCCUGCCACCUCCUCACCUUCUCCCCGCUCAAAAUCCCGCUGGUGGCUUCACCCUUCCCAGGUUCUGGCUCCAGGCUGGAUGCCCACGUGGGUCCCUUGAUGCCAACUCAAGUCACCCGUGUCACCGCGGUGUCCGCGCCGGCUGUGACGUUCAUGGCCACCAACCUCAUGGACCAGGCACUGACAGAUCAUGGCAAAGAAUCAAGCAGAUCCUCCUGCCCCCCGACUCUGAUCCUGCACACAGACGGGAAGAAUGUCCCUGUGGACAGCGAUGGCAACAAGGGUCAUUCCUUUAAACUGGUGGCUGAGGGUAACAGCACAGCCAACGGCAACAAACCCGUGGCCUCCACCCCUGUGCCGGGAUCACCAUGGUGUGUGGUGUGGACUGGAGAUGACAGGGUGUUCUUCUUCAACCCCUCCAUGCAGCUCUCAGUGUGGGAGAAGCCGCUGGACCUGCGGCACCGCGGGGACAUCAACCGGCUGCUCGAGGACCCCCCGCACAAGCGCAAGCUGGAGGCUGCUCCAGCAGACAAGUGUGUUAGUUCUUGCCCAGGGGAUGAAAACGAUGAUCUCAACAUCAAAACUAAGAGAAAUAAAACAGAAGAUUCCCAAGCUGCUGGCCUGGAGAGGGCUGGAGUGGAGGAGAGGAAUGAGGAGACAUCUGCCCCCCAGAUCACCCCUCCCCUGGAGGAGCGAAUCACCCACUUCCGAGACAUGCUGCUGAGAGGGGGGUUUCAGCAUUUUCUACAUGGGAGAAGGAAUUACACAAAAUAGUGUUUGACCCCCGGUACCUCCUGCUGAACUCAGAGGAGCGGAAACAGAUCUUUGAGCAGUUUGUCAAGACCCGGAUCAGAGAGGAGUACAAAGAGAAGAAAAACAAACUGUUGUUGGCCAAAGAAGAAUUCAAAAAGCUUCUUGAAGAAUCCAAGUUGUCACCAAGGACAACAUUUAAGGAAUUUGCAGAGAAACAUGGCCGAGACCAGCGGUUCCGCCUCGUCCAGAAGAAGAAGGACCAGGAGCACUUUUUCAAUCAGUUCAUACUUAUUCUUAAAAAGAGGGACAAAGAAAACAGGAUAAGGCUACGGAAAAUGAGAUAAGAACUCCUGAAACUGGCAAUAAAGACACGAGUGAGCCGAGGCUGUGACUGCGGGGAGGAAUUUGAAGGAGAAGGAGUUCAAGGUUCAAUGUUCAACAGCACGACAGCGAGUGGGUUUCCCAGGGAAAAACUUGCUCUAAACAGAGUUUCUUGACCAUCUCUGGGAUUUGUGAAGGCUGUUCUGCAGGAAUCUAAAGGAUAUUUUGUUCUCAAAGAAUUAAUGUUUCAUAUUGAAGCUCUCUUUUGUACAACAUCCAGAGUUUGAUGCAUUUCUAAUUGCCAUGAUAUGUCAAUCCCUUAAUUGUUUUAAUUAUGCAAAUUACUUGUAAUAUACACAAAUUAUGAAUCCAGUGCAGGUUUAUAAUUAAGCAGAAGCAGAUGCCAUCCAUAACCAUCCCAAGGUAUUUUCAUCGUUUAGGGGAAUUAUCUCAAGCGACCUUUUGGCAACUUUCUGCAUUCCAGUGUGUGGAGGUCUGGUGGUCACAGGAAUCCAUUCCCCGCUGCUCAUAUGUCUCUGUCCAGUCCUCUGAGUAGUAGUAAUCAGAUAUUAAUUGUUAAUAUUGGUGAAGAGUGUGAAAAUCUUGGCAUAUGUCCCGUAGGAAAACUCUCUCAGAACUUCCCACCCCCUGUGACUGGUGCUCCAGGCGGGUGAGAGCGACACUUCUCCCUCAACGUCCCCAAACCCAAGUUUUGUAAAGCCAUCCCAGUCUGGGUUCUGUUACUGUCUGUGAAAAGUCUGCAUGAGAUUUUUCUCAUCAUAUUUGUAUAAAUAAAUAUUUAACUUUUUUAAUUAAUAA